UCGUGUAUGGUGUAACGGCUAACAUUACCGCCUUUCAUUGAUAUGAACGCGGUAGCUCGGGGUUCGAUUCCCCGUACGCGAA